CCUACGGGAGGCAGCAGUGAGGAAUAUUGGUCAAUGGACGAGAGUCUGAACCAGCCACGUAGCGUGAAGGAUGACUGCCCUAUGGGUUUUAAACUUCUUUUAUAUGGGAAUAAACUGUUCCACGUGUGGGAUUUUGUAUGUACCAUAUGAAUAAGGAUCGGCUAACUCCGGGCCAGCAGCCGCGGUAAUACGGAGGAUCCGAGCGUUAUCCGGAUUUAUUGGGUUUAAAGGGAGCGUAGGUGGAUUGGUAAGUCAGUUGUGAAAGUUUGCGGCUCAACCGUAAAAUUGCAGUUGAAACUGGCAGUCUUGAGUACAGGAGAGGUAGGCGGAAUUCGUGGUGUAGCGGUGAAAUGCUUAGAUAUCACGAAGAACUCCGAUUGCGAAGGCAGCUCACUGGACUGCAACUGACACUGAGGCUCGAAAGUGUGGGUAGCAAACAGGAUUAGAUACCCUUGUAGUC
rnacentral:rRNA from 1 species